AUUGAACGCUGGCGGCAGGCCUAACACAUGCAAGUCGAACGAGUGGCGGACGGGUGCGCAAUGUCUGGGAAACUGCCUGAUGGAGGGGGAUAACUACUGGAAACGGUAGCUUAUACCGCAUACCAUCGGAUGUGCCCAGAUGUGAUUAGCUAGUAGGUGGGGUAAAGGCUCACCUAGGAGACGAUCCCUAGCUGGUCUGAAAGGAUGACCGGCCAAACUGGAACUGAGCCACGGUUCAGGCUGAUAGGGCAGGCCGAAGUGGGGAAUAUCGCGCAGUGGGGGCAGUCCUACUGCAGCCAUGACGCGUGUAUGAAGAAGGCCUUCGGGUUGUGAAGUGCAUUAUGCUUGGAGUCGGUAACCGCAGACGAAGCACCGGCAAACGCCGUGCCAGCAACCGCGGUAAUAC
rnacentral:rRNA from 1 species